AUGUUCAACGGCUCCAUCCCGCCGCAGCUUGGCAACCUCUCCGGCCUCGUCGACCUCCGCAUCUAUAACAACAACCUCGCCGACAGCAUCCCGCACCAGCUCAGCAGGCUCCCCAGGAUCAUGCAUCUCGACCUGGGCUCCAACUUCCUCACUGACCCAGACUACCGCAAGUUCUCGCCCAUGCCGACCAUCACCUUCUUGUCGCUCUACCUCAACUACCUAACCGGCAGCUUCCCGGAGUUCAUCCUCAAGAGCGGCAACAUCACCUACCUCGACCUGUCGCAGAACAAUAUCUCUGGACCGAUACCGAGGUCGCUGUUGAAGCUGGGGAAGCUCCAGGACCUGCGGGUUGGCGAUAACAAUCUGAUGGGUGGAAUUCCCAAGUUCCUUGGGUCCAUGUCUAAGCUUAGAGCUCUCGAACUCGGCGGCAACCUGCUCGGCGGAUUGAUCCCGCCAGAGAUUGGCGGCAUGACGGCGUUGCAAGUCUUGGACAUCAACACCAACCAUUUGGAAGGUGAGCUGCCCACCGCCAUCACAUCACUCAGGAAUCUCCAAUACCUCAACCUGUUUCACAACAACUUCACGGGCACCAUACCUCCGGACCUUGGUAAGGGGCUAAGCUUAAUCGACGUGAGCUUCGCCAACAAUAACUCCUCCGGCGAGCUGCCGCAUAGACUGUGUGAUGGCCUCGUGCUGCAGAACUUCACUGCGUCACACAACAACUUCAGCGGCAGGCUGCCAUCCUUCCUUGAGAAUUGCACGUCGUUGUUACAGGUGCGGCUGGAAGGCAAUCAAUUCACCGGCAACAUCUCCGAAGUGUUCGGUGUCAAUCCCAACUUGGACUACUUGGAUGUCUCAGUGAACCAGUUGGGAGGGAAGUUGCCGUCUGAUUGGUCACAGUCAACCAAUCUUACACGCUUACGCAUGAACGAUAAUCAAAUAUCUGGCAAUAUUCAUGAAACCUUCUGCAGAUUGACCUCUCUCCAGGAACUGGAUCUAUCAAAUAACCAACUCACUGGAGAGCUCCCAAGUUGCUGGUGGGAAUUCAAACUUAUGUUAGCUAUGGAUUUGUCCAACAAUAGCUUUUCAGGUGAACUUCCCAUAUCAACGAGCUUGGGCCUUAAACUCCAGUCACUUCGUCUUGCUAACAAUAACUUUCUUGGAGUUUUUCCAUCCGUAAUUGAAACCUUCAGAGAUCUCGUCAUCCUAGAUCUUGGUAACAACAAGUUCUUCGGUGAUAUCCCCUCUUGGGUUGGAACAAGUGUUCCUCUUCUAACAGUUCUGAGCCUCACAUCCAACAAUUUCAAUGGUGUUGUUCCACCUGAGUUAUCCCAACUUUCUAAUCUGCAAGUCCUGGACCUGUCCAGCAACUCCUUCUCAGGUGAGAUCCUCACGGCCAUGGCAAACCAUAACUGCUCUCUCGACUCAUUUCAUCUUGCAGGCAAUGGCUUUGCCGGCGCCUUCCCACCGUUCCUGCAAGGCUGCAAGUUGCUGGCCACCCUGGACAUUGGGAACAACCAGUUCUUUGGUGGUAUCCCUGCAUGGAUUGGGAGUCAGCUUCCAUCACUGAAAAUCCUUAGGCUUAGAUCAAACAAUUUCACCGGACAAAUUCCCCCAGAAUUAUCGAGGCUUUCGGAACUUCAGCUGCUCGAUAUGGCCAACAAUAGCUUGACAGGAUCGAUUCCUGUAACCUUCAGAAAAUUGACCUCCAUGAGGCACAAUCUUCCCCAGUUGGUCCAACCGAGGGAUUCCGCUCCUUUAAAGAUUAUGGCCAAUGGACGACCGCGGGUGGAUCAGUUCCCAGAGAGAGUCAACAUAUCCUGGAAGGGCCAUGAACAAACUUUUCAGAAAAGCAUUGGGUUAAUCACAGGUAUCGACCUAUCAUGCAAUCGACUUACGGAGAACAUCCCUGAGGAGCUAACAUACCUGGAAGCUCUCCGGUUUCUGAACUUAUCCAGAAAUGAUCUAUCAGGCAGUAUUCCAGAGAGAAUCGGCAGACUGGAGCUCCUGGAGUUCCUUGACCUCUCAUGCAAUGAACUUUCAGGUGGCAUUCCUCCCAGCAUCUCAAAUCUGCCGGCCCUCGGUGUGUUAAAUCUCUCAAACAAUCACCUACAGGGCCGCAUACCCACCGGGAAUCAGUUGCAGACACUUGCAGAUCCAUCAAUAUAUGGCAAUAAUCUAGGGCUCUGCGGCUUCCCCUUGAGCCCGUGUGAGCCUACAUUGGGCGAGGGAAUUGAAGACCACACAAAACUCAUAGACCUGGGGCUGUGUUACUCUGUAAUUCUUGGCAUCGUUUCUGGCUUCUGGCUUUGGUUUGGAGCUCUGUUCUUCCUGGAGAAGUGGAGAUUUUGUUUUCUCCGUUCUGUUGAUGGCUUAGGGGUCAAGAUAGGUGUCACCCGCUAA
rnacentral:rRNA from 1 species